CCCGCUGGCACGCGUCCCUCCCGCGGCCCCGCACCUGAGGAUGUUGUCCGCGUAGAUGAAACUACUCUACAGCUUCCUCCUCGCAGAUGGUCAGGCCUUCCUAAGUCAAUGUGGAUGAAAGACCCCAGAGGGAAGCAGAAAACCACGUUCAAAACCAAACACAUAAACUCUGCUGGGUUUCUCCUAUAUGGAUUUUUUUUGGAAUUAGAUAAAUGAUUGAAAAUCUCUUGCAUAAGUCCCAGCUCAGAGAAUAUGAUGCCUCUGUAAAGAAGUUUUUUUCAAAACUGCAGUUUGCAACAUAGUGGGUUGUGGACUCCACUGACCAAAGUAAAACACAUAUCCAAUAAUGACAAAGUAGAAUGGAAUGGAGGAGAAAGGAAAGACAGCAAAAUUAUGCAUCCCAUGCAGUAAGUGUCACCACAGAGCAUUGAGUCCCCUGUGCUAUACAAUACUGAAAACCCCACAAGGUGGAGGAUGUUACCUGUCUGCUGCCCACAGGCAUGUAGACCUCAGACCGGUUGGAACCAGAAGGCUGAUGAUGCCGACUCCCCAUUACCUCACCACCAACCAAUCAGAAUGUUCACGAGCUGACCACGCCCUGCUCCUUGAACACCCACCUGUUUCAGUGGUUUGCACAUAUUUGUCUCCAUGGCUGUUUCCUUAGACUAUGAACUUCCUGAAAGCAAGAACCAUACCCUAUUCAUUUUCAUAUGCCAGCUUCUAGCACAGCUUAGGAAGAAAAUGAAUGUUGAACAAAAGAAAGUACAAGCAAAGAUACAGAGAUGAAAAAAGACAAGCUGAAGUCAACCUAGAGAUGAUAAGAUCACUUUUGCUGGGUGUUGGGCUGCACCCUACAGGCCUGCAAGCCCUGGGCUUACCCAGCUUCAAGACAAAAGAAAGAGCCCAGAGUCAGUGACAGAGACACCAGUGGUUUAGUGGAUGGGGGGAUCUUACAUGUCUGAAGCAAGGUCGUGGAGUGACACCCCACCGUCUGCAGCAGACGGUGGGCAGGACAUGGCAGCAGUCUUUGCUCCAGGGGGAGGGGGAGGUUACCAGUUAUAGGGGAAUUGAUGUCAGGUUGGCUCAUCGGUUACCAGCAGUGAGGCACGCCUCUCACUUCUUCUUUGAUGAACUCUCACAUUACAGAGGUUCUGAUCUAAAGAUUAGUCACCAGCUGGGGCUGGGGGCAAGUCUGUAGGAAGGUCAGUCACGUGAGUAGGGUGUAGGUGAAGCAGGCACUCGUCAGGCAGAGGAUGUACAGAGUGCAAGAGAACAGCCAUCUUGGGUGGAAAUCUAUUUUAAUAGAGAAUGGGAACUAUAUCUGGAAAGAUAGUUUUGAAUCAUAUUACAAAAAAUUUAAGUAAACAUAUGUCUGAACAAGAGGCUAUGGCAAGUGGAGCCUUUUUGAAGAUUUUGGUACUUUAGCUAAAACACCAUGGUAUUUUAACAAGGAAUAUGGUACUAAAUCACACAGUAUAGCUAUUAGAAUAUCAUAAAACCUCUCACCCCUUUCCAGACCAAAGGAAAGAUCAGAGGUAGAAAUAAAAAUGAAAAGACUUUUGGUGGCUUUAUUUUCCUACAAUUUUUUUUACCAUUUUUUGGCCACACUGCACAGCUUGCAGGAUCUUAGUUCCCCAACCAGCAGAAGCGGGGCGUCCUAACCACUGGUCCGCCAGAGAAUUCCCUCUACAAUAUUUUAAUUGACUUGUCACUUCUUAUCCAAGAUAAUUUUGUGAUGUUACAAAAGAAAAAAGAACAGCAUGUUAAAACUGUGUUUCAUAUGAGUUUGGCUUCAAAAAAUAUUUUAGGACUUUUCGCACUAUGAUUUUAAAAUAUUAUAUAGCCAUGAAGAGAGGAGAGAGCAAGUUUGGGUACCUCUCACUCCUUAACUUUUAGUUGUAUUUUAUAACCACGUUUGUUUUAAUUUCUCUUAAAGUAACUCUAUCGUCACUGAAAGGAGGUCAUCCUAAGAAGUGACUGAAUAGGCCUUGGAUCAAGGAUGACUCAAGGUCAUACUAGGGAACUACUUUAGAAAAAGUCUAUUUCCAGACACAUUUAAAUCCAGUACUAACUAGGAAAAGCUAAGCUUCUCCCAAAUUCUUCCCUAGAGCUGGGAAAGAAGACAAAGCACUCUACUUGGAAGCCAUCAAGAGGCACACUGUCCAGAAAGAAACAAAUACGCUGAGAGGUUCAGAUGCAGGUUAUAUGGUCAAUCCUUUAUCUACAGAAGAAAGAAGGACACAAAACGCACCUGGGUCAGCACGUGAGCAACAGAUGGUCAUCUAAACAAAUACUACCUUGCUGAUUUCUUGCUUUUUUAUAUUUUUAUGUUAUUUUUCCCUUGAUAGAUUCACAGUGAGCUCUGAGCAAAUAAAAGUUAUUGAAUUUUUCGAACACUUAGAAAUA